rnacentral:lncRNA from 1 species
UUUCACUUGUAUGUUUACUACUUGUGACGCUUGCUCUUGUAAUGUUCAGCACUGUUUGUGCUCUCGCUGUUGUUGCAUGAUCAUGUAUGUAUUCAAGUUGAUUUCCUGGGGACUUGUUGUACAUGAUCUCGUUGUUGAGCCUUGGGCGGACAGGGGAGGUGCUGUUCGUUCGGCGGUCCGCCUGCCGCGCUCGAACCGUGCCAAAUCGGUAGCGGCCUAGGGGCGGGGCGUGACAAGGUGGGUGGUGUAUUUGAUGACUAGUGAUGUUGAGAAAGAAUGUAAAGCUUAUUUUGAGGUAAAUGUGAUGUAAGAAAGAAAUGAUGCAACGUGUAAUGAAGUACAAAGAAUCAUGAAUGUAAAUGGAUGCAAUGUAUAUGAUCAAAAUGAAUCAUAGUACUUGUAAAUGUUUAGUUUUCCUUUCUUUCACUAAUGGCUAUUGCUUACCCUCGUGUAAGCCGUUUGUGUAUGUUUCCGCUAGUGCUUUUCUCUAUUGAUGAAAAUGUACAUGUGAUGAGCCUUGGGCGGACAGGGGAAACUCUGUUCGUUCAGCGUCUGUUUGACGUGCUCGGGUCGGGCCAAAUUGGUAUCGGUCCCGGGGCGUAACAAAUUUGGUGGAUGGCUAAAUGUAAAAAGAUAUGAUGGAUGAAUGGAAUGUAAUAGUUUUAUUUACUUGUUUUUGGUUUAAAUUUAAUCAAAUAUCAUGUAUGUUGUAUAUUUAGCUUAGAGCUUUUCCUUCCGUUGUUGCUUGCCCUCGCGCAAACCUUAUAUUAUAUAUGCAAAUCUCUUGUUGAUUGCUUAUUUAUACAUGUCGUUUGAACCUUGGGUGGACAGGGGAGGCUCUGUCUGUUCGGCGUCUGUUGACGUAACCCGAACCCGACCAAAUUGGCGGGGAUUGGGGCAUGGCACCUCGGGUGGUUGAGCCUUGUGCCUCCCCCGUUAGACGGGAUGUGUGGAUUGUGAGUUUGGGGUAAAUUAGGAGCACCCUGGGUUGAUUGGGUAAAAGCCAAAGGAAAAUGAGAAAUGGAUAUGCAUGCAUAAUUAACAUGUAUUGAAUAUGAAUAUCUAUCUGUGGAUUGCUUUCUUGCAGGCAUUGUAUUAGAAGUGCAUUAGUUGGUUUGUUAUCCUUCUUUAUUGAAAUACAUAUGCCUGAAAUAAACCUAGUGGGCGAAUCGGCGCGGUCGGCGGCCGAACCCACUGGGAACUUCUUCUAGUUCUCAUUACCACUAACCUUGCAGAUCCGUGCGCGAGCGGGGCGGCGGAGGAUCGAGGCAAGGGUAUCGCGCCGUAGAUAGCGGCCUCGGAGUUUAUAGGCAUACCCUAUAUUUUGGUAUACUCAACUUUUGUAUGUUGAAAUAGUAAUGUAAAAAUAAUGUAAAUCAUGUAUUUUGGUUAAAGGAAAACGUGAUGUAAAUGAAUGGGUAAAUGAAUGUAAUUGUAAUAGACUACUUGUGUUUGCUUUAAAUGUAAUCAAAUGAUAUGUGUUGGAUGGAUAAAUGUAAUAGUUUCAAUGCUUUCACUUGUGGUUGUUGUUUGCCCUCGAGCAAACCUUGUAUAUCUUGCAAUCUUUUUAUUGUAUUGCUUGUUUUAUACAUGUUGUUGGAGCCUUGGGCGGACAAGGGAGGUGCUGUCCGUUCGGCGUCUGUUCGCGUGCCUGAUCCGACCAAAUUGUUG